rnacentral:RNase_P_RNA from 1 species
UGAGUAAAUCAGAUAGUCGCGGGCUUAACGGCCUGAGGAAAGUCGGAGCUCCACAGGGCAGGGUGCUGGAUAACUUCCAGUAGGGGCAACCCUAAGGCAAGUGCCACAGAAACAAACCGCCCGGUACGUAAUAUUAUAAUAUUGCAAAAAUCAGACUAAUGAACGAAGCAUUCUGAAUGCUGUAUUGAAUUAUAACAGAAGACUUGGUAUCGGGUAAGGGUGGAAAGGUGAGGUAAGAGCUCACCAGCAGGCAGGUGACUGUCUGGCUCGGUAAACCCCACUCGGAGCAAGACCAAAUAGGGGAACAAUGCGAGUAGCCCGCUCCGUUCCCGGGUGUGUCGCUUGAGGUGUCAGGUAACUGGCAUCCCAGAUAGAUGACUAUCUAAUACAGAACUCCGCUUAUAGAUUUACUUACCUG